AGCAACAACCGAGGUUGUAAGGUAAAGGCUGAAUAUUGUAGAUUUAUUACAAUAUGUUGCAUGUUUGAAUUAAAAUACCUGUGGAUAUGCAACUUCCCACUAAUGAAAGUUUUAUUCAAAAGGAGCACACACUCUACAAAGGCCUGACUGGAGAUUUGCCUGAUCUAUCCGUCCUUCAGAUGACAGCGGCUCGCUUCAAGAGCAGGUGAAGCAAGUUGGGACAAUGUUGAAGACAUUUGCUCGCACUGGGCAAUCAGGUGCAGAUCAAACCCUAAUGCUGCGACGUCUUGGAAUUUGGCGAUGUUGUGCGUAGCAUGGACGACAAAAUGCUAUGCUGCAACGUUUCAGUGCCAAUGUGUCUGUUGGAGAGUUAUCCCUGCCAGGGGAUCUGUUACUCCCCCCUAGACACCCAGGAAGAUUUGGCGUUGCUUGACAACAGUUUGAGGCAGGAUAAAGAGC